CCUACGGGUGGCAGCAGUGAGGAAUAUUGGUCAAUGGUCGGGAGACUGAACCAGCCAAGCCGCGUGAGGGAGGAAGGUACAGAGUAUCGUAAACCUCUUUUGUCAGGGAACAAAUGCUGGGACGUGUCCCCUUCUGAGUGUACCUUAAGAAAAAGCAUCGGCUAACUCCGUGCCAGCAGCCGCGGUAAUACGGGGGAUGCGAGCGUUAUCCGGAUUUAUUGGGUUUAAAGGGUGCGCAGGCGGUCUGUUAAGUCCGCGGUAAAAGCCCGGGGCUCAACCCCGGCCCGCCGUUGAAACUGGCAGUCUGGAGUUGGAGAGAAGUAUGCGGAAUGCGCGGUGUAGCGGUGAAAUGCAUAGAUAUCGCGCAGAACUCCGAUUGCGAAGGCAGCAUGCCGGCUCCAAACUGACGCUGAGGCACGAAAGCGUGAGUAUCGAACAGGAUUAGAUACCCGAGUAGUC
rnacentral:rRNA from 1 species